rnacentral:rRNA from 1 species
AUUGAACGCUGGCGGCAUGCCUUACACAUGCAAGUCGAACGGCAGCACGGGUGCUUGCACCUGGUGGCGAGUGGCGAACGGGUGAGUAAUAUAUCGGAACGUACCUUAUUGUGGGGGAUAACGCAGCGAAAGCUGUGCUAAUCCCGCAUAAUCCCUAAGGGGGAAAGCGGGGGACCGUAAGGCCUCGCGCAAUUAGAGCGGCCGAUACCUGAUUAGCUAGUUGGUGAGGUAAAGGCUCACCAAGGCAACGAUCAGUAGCUGGUCUGAGCGGACGAUCAGCCACACUGGGACUGAGACACGGCCCAGACUCCUACGGGAGGCAGCAGUGGGGAAUUUUGGACAAUGGGGGCAACCCUGAUCCAGCAAUGCCGCGUGAGUGAAGAAGGCCUUCGGGUUGUAAAGCUCUUUUGUCAGGGAAGAAACAGCAGCUCUAACACAGUUUGCGAAUGACGGUACCUGAAGAAUAAGCACCGGCUAACUACGUGCCAGCAGCCGCCGUAA